rnacentral:rRNA from 1 species
AAUAGAUACCCUGGUAGUCCACGCCGUAAACGAUAUCGACUUGGAGGUUGUUCCCUUGAGGAGUGGCUUCCGGAGCUAACGCGUUAAGUCGACCGCCUGGGGAGUACGGCCGCAAGGUUAAAACUCAAAUGAAUUGACGGGGGCCCGCACAAGCGGUGGAGCAUGUGGUUUAAUUCGAUGCAACGCGAAGAACCUUACCUACUCUUGACAUCCAGAGAACUUAGCAGAGAUGCUUUGGUGCCUUCGGGAACUCUGAGACAGGUGCUGCAUGGCUGUCGUCAGCUCGUGUUGUGAAAUGUUGGGUUAAGUCCCGCAACGAGCGCAACCCUUAUCCUUUGUUGCCAGCGGUUCGGCCGGGAACUCAAAGGAGACUGCCAGUGAUAAACUGGAGGAAGGUGGGGAUGACGUCAAGUCAUCAUGGCCCUUACGAGUAGGGCUACACACGUGCUACAAUGGCGUAUACAAAGAGAAGCGACCUCGCGAGAGCAAGCGGACCUCAUAAAGUACGUCGUAGUCCGGAUUGGAGUCUGC